GGUUUCAUAGUGUAGCAGUUAGCAUGUCUGCUUUACAUGCAGAAGGUCCAGGGUUCACACCCCACUGGAGCCA
rnacentral:tRNA from 1 species